rnacentral:lncRNA from 1 species
AGUUGUGGAGCAAAUGAGAAGGGACAGCACUGUCCUGUCAUUAACACGUUCAGAAGAAGUCGGAUAUCCCAGCAAGAUCACAGAAUCACAAGAGUUGGAAGGAACCUCAAGAGACUAUUGAAUCCAACCCCCCUGCUAAGGUCUGACCAACAGAAGGAGUGGCUGCAGUGCAUGCUGUGCCUUUAGUGCACUCCUCAACACGGCACCCAGAAAAUCAAAGUGUGGAAACUGACAGAAUAACCAUUGUGUCGCCCUUUAGCAACUAUCUGCUAAAACAUGGAGGUCGUUCUAUGAAGGUAUGUGUGACUGAAAGCUUAGUUCAAACCUUCCAGUGUGUGUGUUUGUGAUUAAGGACUGGUAUUUAGUAUAGUUCAAAUUGCAAGGACUCUUCUCGCCUCAGCGAUUUG